rnacentral:rRNA from 1 species
AGAGUUUGAUCAUGGCUCAGAUUGAACGCUGGCGGCAGGCCUAACACAUGCAAGUCGAGCGCGAAAGUUCUUCGGAAUGAGUAGAGCGGCGGACGGGUGAGUAACGCGUGGGAAUCUGCCCAGUAGUGGGGGAUAACGUUCCGAAAGGAGCGCUAAUACCGCAUACGCCCUACGGGGGAAAGGGGGGGAUCUUCGGACCUCUCGCUAUUGGAUGAGCCCGCGUCGGAUUAGCUAGUUGGUAGGGUAAUGGCCUACCAAGGCGACGAUCCGUAACUGGUCUGAGAGGAUGAUCAGUCACACUGGAACUGAGACACGGUCCAGACUCCUACGGGAGGCAGCAGUGGGGAAUAUUGACAAUGGGGGAAACCCUGAUCCAGCCAUGCCGCGUGUGUGAAGAAGGCCUUAGGGUUGUAAAGCACUUUCAGUGGGGAGAAAGGCUUGUUGAUUAAUACUCGACGAGAUUGAUGUUACCCACAGAAGAAGCACCGGCUAACUCCGUGCCAGCAGCCGCGGUAAUACGGAGGGUGCAAGCGUUAAUCGGAAUUACUGGGCGUAAAGCGCACGUAGGCGGUGAGUUUAGCCAGCUGUGAAAUCCCCGGGCUCAACCUGGGAAUUGCAGUUGGAACUGGCUCGCUAGAGUAUGGUAGAGGGGUGUGGAAUUUCAAGUGUAGCGGUGAAAUGCGUAGAUAUCUGAAGGAACAUCAGUGGCGAAAGGCGACACC